GUUGGGUAGAGGGCCUGCAAUGGGUGAAGGAGACCACACAGAUCGCGCACAGCACAGAAAAGAGUCCAUGUGAGAUGCCGCAGAGUCCCUGGGCCUUUGCUUUCCCAGCCGCUGGGAGCAGGAGGGAAGCAGAGAUUGCCCAGGGCCUGUCAGCUGUGGGACAGGUGAGCUCAGCUGAGGACCCUAGGGCUGGGAGAGGCACUCCCGUGCUGGGGAGGGGUCCAUGGCUGGAGCCCAGGAGGCACAGAGAGGCACUCUGAGCAGGAAGGACGGGAAACUCUGAGCAGAGACAGAACAAACCCAGAGCUGGGCCGGGCUGGGUGAGGUGGGGUGCCGGGGGCGCGGCAGGAGACGGAGGUGACUAGUGGGGACUUUGCCUUCUGGGGUCCAAAGCGUGGCUUCCCUCAGCUGGUAACUGACUCUAACGAGUUAGAGUCUAGCGCAUUUGGCCCAGGCAGACGACUACAGAGCGGCUUGCUUCUCAGAUGUGUGUAGCAGAAGAGAGAAUCCCAUCUUCAUUAAUAGGGCAGGGAGGUGAGAUCUUACGCACACGUGCAUACGGCCAAGGGAAGUACACGAGGAAAUGAAACCAGAUUUGUGAGGUGGUAGACAGGCAGUUUGCUCAUUUGUGGCCCUUCUCCCGUUCUUCUUCUCCGUAUCAGGAUGUGCCCUGCAGCCCUCUGUGCCUCCAUCUCCGAUGACGUCGGCAUCCACGUCCAUUUCUAUGACGGCCGCCAUCCAUAUUCAUACCUACACCUACACUCACACCUGCACUCGUGCAUUUGUCAGGAAGCUCCCUUUCCCACGGAGCAAAACUGAGUUGAGGGGAAGUGACAUGUUUCUCCACGAAGGUACAAAAUUGCCUACAGAAAGUCACUGUCAGUGCGAGCCGGCUGCCGGGCAGAGCCGUUCCUGGGCAUCCCUCUUCCACGCGUCCUUCCAAUCCAGCGAGGCCGGGGCGGGGCCACGUGGGGAGCAGCUGCCCCCACGGUGGGGAGGAGAGGCCUUCAGCCCUUGCCCAGGGUGGGGGAAACAGCAAGCAACUGAGACUGCACAGAGACAAAGAGGAGGGGGUGCCUCCUGUGGGCCCUGGGGACGCAGGCAGGGGACAUCCAGGCAGAGGCCCAGGGCUCUCUGGGCACAAAGCCAACUGGGGAGGCAGGCGGCUCUAGCCAGAGUCCUUCCUGCUCCUUGGAGCUGCUCCUCAGAAUGGCAGCAGAGGCGCCCCCAGAAGGUGAGGGCGGCUCCUGGAGGCUGCGGGGCACCCCCUGGGGCUGGAAGCUGGUUGUCUCGGUUCAGCUGCCAGGCCUCAAGCACGUGGGUCCAGGUCAAUUUCCUGGCGGGGCGUCUGGCCCAGAUUGCUUCCCUCUUGGUGAAAAGUAGUCCGAGUUAUUUCUCUACUGCCGAGAACAGGCUGAGCUUCAGGAAUUCUGUGACGGUGGCGGGACCGAGUCUCCCUUCGAGGACCUGGGCCACUUCCUCCUGGAUUCCAAUCCAGCGAGGCCGGGCGGGCCACGGGAGCAGCUGCCCCACGGUGGGGAGGAGAGGCCUCAGCCCUGCCCAGGGUGGGGAAACAGCAAGCAACUGA
ensembl:lncRNA